UCAUGUCUAAGAGAUAGGUUCACAUUAUGACCACAGGAAAACCAUUGCUAGAUGAACAUAAAAAUUUCACAAGUUGCCCUGGGAAAGUCCCAUAUGGAUUCUCGCUGAACACCCAUUUAGAAGAGCAAUUUUAACCUCCUUGGCAGUCUUAAAAUACUAAAAAGAAUGCUUUUUGGUGGGCACAAAAAAGAUUGCUUCAAAAUCAUGAUUCCUGCUUUAUCUCAUACAGUAAGGCUAUAGGUUUCAAGAGGGAUUAAAAAUAAAACUGAGAAAUGUCUCUUUUUUAAAUACCUAGAGAAAAAGGAAAAGAAGGGAUCAUAACAUGAAAUUGAAAUAGUUUAAUGUUCAAGACCAGAGUCUGACCCAGGAUGACCCACAAACAGGAGGAGCAUGACCGUGACAGACGCACCGAGGUGACUAUGAAUCAGCACAUGGCACCAAAACACGAUCGAAGCACUUGAGUUCCAGUGUGUCCACAGGACGCCCGUUUUUCACAUCCCCUCCCCCACGUCACCCCUCGCAGGGAUGCCGUCACCACCAGCAGGUCCCUGAGUCUAAUUACAAUGACUUGUAACUUUUCUGUACACUGUGAAACUAUGGAGACUUCCUUUGAGAAAUUUUUGAGAUAAAAUGCUAUUAACCACACUUACAGUUGUUUUCUUGAUUUUAUACUCAUCUAUAUUUUCUCACACAUUCAUCAUCAGAAAUCUAGAACCAAAAAUGUUAAUUAAACAUCUGCAGCAUGUGGGGCUGACAAGCCCCAAGCCAGGUGAUGCUCAGGACAACGCUUCACACUCAGUCCCCUUCGUAAAAUUGUUCUGAAUUUAAAGAAAAAAAACCCUGCUCCAAAGCCCCUGAUUUUAGUAAGAGUCUACACUAAGGAACUGCUUCUAAAAGGUACGGCCUGAGGGACCCCUGGGAAAGUGGAAGAUACGGGCUGGUUUAUAGAGUGGGCGAGGUCUCUGCAGGAGAGGAGAGGAGAGGUGGUCCAGGCAGCGGUGCGGGUGGGGGACAGGAAGGAGAGGCGAGCAGAGGUGGAGCGCUCAGAGACGCACUGGGUGUGUGUUUGGAGAAAGGCCCAAACUCUGAAAUAUCUGGAGCAGACGGACACUUGUUGACUGGUGGGAGCUGAGACUGGAAAAGUUAAGCAUGUACCAGGUGAUGGAGGGUUUCAAAAUACCUGGCCGAGGUGCUUGGCAGCAACUGUGAGUCCCAAUAGAUAACUGGAGGGUAGAGAGACAAGCACAGCAAGGGUUUAGGGACAUUAGCCCGGGGCCACAGGCAGAGCGGCCCGGGCAGCAGUGAGGGACGGCGGGGGAGCAGCCCUGACACAGUCCGGAUGGAGGGUGGAGGGAACAGGUCCCCGCGUGCAGGGCGGUGGAAGCUCACCACUCUCCCCGUGAGCGCGGAGCCAGGGCCCCAGGGCCACACGGAGGUACGAACCGCGCGGGCGGCACCGUGCGACCGUUCACCGCGGGAGGAGGGCACGUGGUCUGGCCCGAGCUCUGUUUGCUUCUGCAGGGUAAACGUACAGCCAUGAAGACAAUGAGACUCAACAACCAGUUCACCAGAAACACGGCCACCUACACACCGUUCCACGGACUCCAAGAGAGAAGUCCAGGCCUGGAGGACCAGCCAAUUGCUGAAGUCAUGCAGGAAACGGAGCAGAGAGAGAGGAGAGAGGCUCCUUCUCCCUGAGGUCCCAGUCCGCGGAGAGUGGAGGCCGGUGUGUGUCUCCCACCCAGACUUUUGUUUGGAAGUUUUUUCAACUGUUGCUAGGUGUUGUUGGGCCCUGAGAUUCCGUGUCUCGCCUCCUGCUCGCUUCGCGCUGUCAGAGCAGUGACUUUGCUGAGGAGCAGAGCCCGCGUGUGCUAUAUUUAACCAGUGUUCUCAGCAAGUCCAGCCCGUCAACAGCUGAGAAGUUUGGAGCCGGCUUUACUCAGCUCCUCGGCAGCUGGGUUAUCAGUGGGCGCAGCUCUGCUCACCCUGUGAAAGAUGGCGGGCAAACCGGCAGACCCUUCCCGGGACCUCUGCUCAUGACCCAGUAAGGUAGUCACUCUUCGAAGCCCUUAAGAACAGAUUGUGAUUUGGGACAGAGGUUUUAAAACCUGAAGAGAAGCAGCAGCAGUUGGGUUGAGCAGAGCAAUUUGCUAGCGUAGGGUUCUUGUCAAUCAGGCUUUUGCAGUUAAGUGUUCUUAAAUUAAAAAGGCCUUUAGAAGUUUAUCACAGCUGCUGGGAAAGUCACAGUGAGAGACCAUUUCCAGGCAGUAUUUUACAUCGGAGUGUUACACUCACAGCUGAUGACUUACCCAGUCCGGUCAGACUUGACCAGCUUAUACACCUGAAUGUUCUUAAAAGAGAGGAGUGGAGCACACUACAGGAAACCAGCGCUGAGCCGCCUCUGGUCACUGACAGCCUGGCCUCGUUAACCCUCUCGUCUCCAAAACCAGAGGAGGGUCGCGUCUACCCUGGACUCCCAGGCGGAGAAUGCCUCGAGAUACUUUACUGGCUUUAUGCUGUCCCAUGAAUGGAAGAGACCAGGCAAAAAGAAGACUUUGACCUCAACUAGAGAGACAAUUUUAAAAGAUGAAUUAACACCUAUGAGCCUAUUUCUUCAAUUGCCAAGUGGAGAUAAUGGGAUUUGAUCUACACGCCGCACCCUCCACCGCCACCACCAGCAGCACAGCUGGCAGCCACAGGACAUGGACGUGCAGCCUGGGCCGGAAGAGCGGGACCGCGGCGCGACACCAAGGAGAGGGAGCAUUCGAACCCUCUGCGCCCGCUUGGAAAUCCUGUCCUCUGUGAAGCCCGUGCGCCAGCAUCAAGUCUGACUGCCAGCAUUUGUCGGCAAAUGACUACGCGCAGAUGAGGGCGGCAGGACAGGCAUUGAGGAGGGAGCUGACGGUGAGCAGUGGCAGGGGCGUAGCUCCCCCGGGCCUGUUCGGACCUGCGAAGAGAGUCAAACUCCAGAUCAGUUUCUUCCAGAAAACACAAAUCCUAUGUCUGCCUUCGUGGGAUCCAAUCAAAAUGCUCUAGGAUAGAUGUGAUAACCAGAUGGGGAGCGCAAUAUCUGGAGACCUGUCUGGCUGUCACAAUGGAGGGGCGCUCCUGGCAUCCAGUGCGUAGAGGCCAGGGCCACUGUUAACCUCCCGGUAGUGUCCAGCACAGCCGCCUCCUGCGAGGAGUCACCAGCCAGAGGCCAAGAGCCGAGGCUGAAAGGCCCUGCGCGCACCAGACGGUCAAGAAAUAAUGAUUCUCACAAGAACUGCCGGCGAGACUCAGAGCAGCAACAAAGAUGCGCAGAUAACACGGCAGAAUGGGUGACUCGAGGAGACGUAGGAAAUAUAGGGAGGGAAAAUGACUAAUAGCUUCAGGGAUCACGGAAAAUUUUGAAAAACAAUACUGUAGAUAUCCAUCUGAACAUUCUUAAAAUAACCAGAUUUGGUCAUUCCUUCUAUAAUUCUUUUUCACAUAAGAACUAACCACCAAAUACUUGCAGAAAAUACCCUCUCUACUCCUGAAACUAUACUAAGUUCUCCGGAAAGACAACGUCACUGGUCUUGGGGGCUCAGAGCAGAGUCACAGCUCCAAUUCCGCGUUCCUGUUACCAGGCUCAUCCCUCCAAGCGAGGGCCAGUUCUGGACCAAACCCCCCGUGUGGCACAGUCGCUCAGGGGAGACAGGCAGACAUUAAACUAGCAAAUGUACAAUUUCAGUGUGUGAUUUACUUCUGUUCCCAGAAAUAUUGGACUAUAUUCUAAAAAUCCUGAAAAUCUCCUCACAACACAAUGCCUAGGAUUGCUGGCUUAAAUAUCACAUUCUUUUGGAAACCUAGCAGAGAAUGAAAGAAGCUAUGGGGAACCUCUAAGGUGCCAAAGCAAUCAGGAACUGCACACCAGAGCAGUGAGCACGGACUGAGAGGCAGCCCUGGGGCGUAGGGCGUGGGGACUGUUAGCCUCAGAAACAAGUACAUCCAGGCUGCACGGGAAUAGGUAGGUCGUGAAGCCCCAGGCCCCGGAGAUUUGGAGCAAGAACUGAGACCCUGCAUAGAUCUGAGACCCUUAGACUUUAAAACAACAACCAUGUACAGACAUAGGAAAAUAAGAAGGAAGCUUAUCCAUCCUGGCCUGGCUCUGGAUGAGGGAAAAAAUAGCCCCUGCUAAGAGUUCAUUCCCACAGAGCAAGUUCAGGAGGCCUGCUGAGCAAACGUACACUGCUCAUGCUGGCUGAGAGUCUCCAGCCCAAGGUGGGAACACAAACCGCCCCAGAUGGGCAAUCUCCACAGAACACCCGACAGAAGCAAGUGUUUACCCACACAGUGCGCCCUUGGGACCCACUAGGUCUCCGGGGGCUUGUGGGGGAGCAGUGGCUGGCACUGCAACGCCCCCCCUUGCAACACCCCCACCCCUCCUCCCUUCUCCCAAUACCACAGCCCAGGUCAGGCCCAGCAGGUGAGGUUUCAUGCACGGUCCUCGCCCCAGAAUCUGCUUUCUAGGCGACCUGAGCUAAGUUACGGACACUUGUAAGAGGCCGUUGGAGGAAUGGCCGUUCUAAACCGAGGCCUGAAGGAUCUGAAGGCGAGGCCAGCUGCUGAGGGAAGAGUGGCCGGGGAAGUGGGCCGGCUGCCAGAGCCUCUGGCGGGCACAGAGCACAGGCCCUUCGAGGGGAGGGGGGAGGGAGGUCUGGGGAGCCCCUGAGGAGCCGAUCAGGCAGGACGGAGGCCUCGGGACUGCGUCUGGGCCGCAGCUGUGUGUGUGCUUUCUCAAAGUAGCUGCCAAAAUUUGAAAAUAAGGAGAUAUCACAUAAUAAUUCCUGGAUUUUCAAAAAAUCCAAAAGCUCCAUCAGCAGUGGAUCCCCUUUCAUACGUGGAGACCAUUAGCUGGAUCCCCUCCCUGAGACGAGCCUGUGGCCGCACACAUGCCACCGUCCGACGUUUGCUCAUUCAUGUAUGUUGCCGAUUUGGCCUCUCUGGGAGUUUGAAUUUACGGCUCCUAAUUUAGGCCUUUAUUAGGUAGGCUUUUUUUUAAAAAAAGCUGAACUUUAUUCUAAGACAAGAAUAGCUCGUAAAAUAUUUUAAGCAAGGGAAUGGUAUGAUCUAAUUUACAUAUACUCCAUCCUGUGAAAAUAUGGCUUGGAGAGGACAAUAGGGCCCAGGAGGAAAAGAGGCCACAAAUUAGGCUAUUGUAAGAAUCUGGGUGCGAGGUAAUAGUGGCUUGAGAUAGGGUCGUGUCAGUGGAAGUGCAGAGAAGUAAAUGGAUUUCAAGCGUGUUUGGAAGCAGAAAAUACAGUAUUUGCUGACAGGUGACAGAAUGAAAACCAACUUAUGCUCUAUUAUGAGUAACUUGAGACUUCUCAGGUCAACAGCAAAAGGGACACUUACCGAUAGUCCCCAGUACACGGAGAGCUUAGCGCUCGCCGUGAGGAACACGACUGUAAGGAACCACGGAGCUCGGUGAAAAGAACUCCCUGAAGGAGCACGAAUCCUACCGGGAGAAACAGGAGUGACGCAAAUACAUGUACUUAGAAGUCAUGGCGCUUGUAAGGCAGGAGGCCGUACCCAUGAGAGUGGCAGACAGCUGACUCGCCGAGGGCGUAUCACGUGCCCGGCGCACACAUCUCGCUCAGGGCUUACAGGACUACCUGGAGCACGUGAUAUCAUCAUCCCCAUCCUAUGCAUGGAAAAACAGAAACUCAGGGGAGUUCGGUACCAGUACAAGAUCGCACAGAACUGGGAUCUGGGCCCAGGCACCCUGACUGACUCCGCUGGCCAUUUGUCUAAUCAGUAUGUAAGAUCGCCUUAUGGGUGAAGCAGGUAAAGGGGAUAAAGAGGCGCAAAAUCUCAAAUAUAAUAUAAAUCCGUCACAGAAAUGAAAGAACAGCGUAGAGAGUGUAGUUAAUAAUAUUGUAACAUCCUUCUGUGUUGAAGGUGGUGACUACCUUUCUGGGGUGAGCAUUUAACACUGAAGAUAACUGCAGAAUCACUGUGCUGUACCUGAAACCAAUAUGAUACUGUGUAUCAACUGUACUUCAAUAAAAAAUGUUUAAAUAAUAAUGAAGAUAUAGAAACUUAAAAAAAGAAUGCUUUUAUGCACACUUAGAAAGGUCACAAAUUUACCUGCAUACGGCAACUCAGACAUGCCAAGAAAAAUGGAACGCCUUUUAUUUGGCUGAAACUCUGAGCUCGCUCACAGCCCCGUCAGCUGGUCGGGGGCGGGGGAUUAAGGUUUCCAGGCGGCAUAAACCUCAGCUCCUUUCAGUGACUGAGACAGCCCUUCGGGUGAGGGUCUGAGCUGCCUAGGAAAGAGGCGCACAUCCCUCAGCCUUCUGCCCCACGCGUGUGUCCCCAUGCGUGCGCACAUACCAAGGCGGUGUCUGAUGCACGAGGAAGGCUGUGGUUCACGUGUGGACAGAGCCCCACUGAAGCUUCCCGGUCUUAGGCUUGAUGUCCAGGCCCACCUGGAUGCUGCUCGACCUGCCAGCACUCAGGACUGGGCACAGGAGCACCCCGGCCUGGCCUCUUAGCUGACUCGGCGCAGCGUCCCUGGCUAAUGGAGCCCCACGUCAGCGCUGUGGGGCCCCCACUCGGCGACGUUUCUCGUGUCCAGCCAUCUGGCCCCACAGCCCGCUGUGGCCUCUGCCUCGGCUCCACGCUCCCCUCAGGAGGCUCCCUGGCCAGGCUGACGAUGACCACAGUCCAAACUGAGCGAUGUGCGAGGCGACAGGAAGGCACGUCACCAUCACACUGGAGCAGCGGGUGAGCUGGACAGGCAGACUGGACACGGAGCAAGCCCCCUGGCUCCCGGUUCAGCUGCUUUGCAAGAUCCCCUCCCAGAAGCUUCAAGAACCCCUCAGCCUUGUUUCUGCGACACAGGGCGGGGCAUCGAGGGAAGCUCAGCUCCAACGGCCCCCCUUGCCCCACGGCAGAGCCGGAUUCGGGGGGCUGAGUCGCACAUGCAGGUCUGGGUCAGCCGAACAGGCGAUCUCUCUCAGGCCCUGAAUGGAAGCAAGCCUCCCACACAACUAUGUGACACGCCCCCUCCUCUUCCAGGAAAGCCCCGAGAAGGACACGGCCCUAAUGCCGCAGGGAAGGCGGGUAUCUUCCCUUCAUUAGGGGAAAAGUCAGUGACCCAAGUUUUCCAGACUUUCCCUUGGAUAAGUUAAAUCAAAACUAAAAGAAACUGGGGGAAAAAACACCUUUCAAAUCCACAUAGCAGUGCUCUCAACCCCGCUGUCCUGGUAAAGAGUCCAGUGCUGCCCUGGUGUCCUGGACCUCUAGGCCUCGAGACUCAAUUCAGGAGUAGAAGACUGAAUGAUAAAUGACUUAAAGGAGGAAAUGGAAGUAAAUGCAUUAGUUUAAUGCUUGCAAAAUAAAAUCAUCAACAUAUAGAAGACGGCUCAUUCUCAUAGUGAGAAGUAUUUAAUGUCAUUCAACAUUAAGAUUCUUAACACAGACUUGAUAAACUGAAUAAACCGAUGCCCUUGUAAGAUACUCCAUCACAAUCAGAUCUUCAGAGGUCAAGGUCCAUCCGAUUUUAGACCUGAGGUCCUGGUCUGAGUAUGCCAUAGCUCUGUGACUUUAUCUUUGAAAGGCCCCAAACUGUGAUAUAUCAGGUUUCCACUUAGGCUUUGCCUACUCAUUUAAGUAUCUCUAACCUAAACUGCAGUCUUAAUGUUUUAAAGUGCAUUAAAUGGUUCCCAGUAUUGAGCAGGGACUAUUGAGAGGCCCCAAGCUUGUGAUGUUUCACAAGGACAUUCUAAUGAGUUCACUGCUCUGUUCUUUCUACUUAGCCCCAGGCGGCGGCAGCAGUUACACGGCUCCCCUACAUUGUUACUCUGGGUGAUUUCCGACGACCCCAACUAAAAAAAACAUUCUCUCUACCAAUGCACAAGUUUCCAAGCACAGGCAGAAAAGUACACAAAUGCUGAGCCAUCAGGGUCAUGGAAGGACCGAAAAAGGAGAGGCCAGGUGGGCUUCUUCAAGGGCUUCUCAUUCCUUUAUGAUUAAUGAACCUAAGGAAAGCAUCUGAAGCUUCUGUGCAAUGUGAAGAAUGAACUGCUGGAGCACCACUGUGCUUUAAACAGCAGCGAAGAUGCGAGGCAGUGCCUUCCUGCGGGGAAGAAGAAAUCCUCACCCCAAAAAAAAUCAUUUAGAAAGGAACAGACGGUUGAGUUCAAAAAGCU